UACGGGGGGGGCAAGCGUUGUUCGGAAUUACUGGGCGUAAAGGGUUUGUAGGUGGCCCGCUAAGUCACACGUGAAAUCCCUCAGCUUAACUGGGGAACUGCGUGUGAGACUGGCAGGCUUGAGUGCAGGAGAGGAACGCGGAAUUCCAGGUGUAGCGGUGAAAUGCGUAGAUAUCUGGAGGAAUACCGGUGGCGAAGGCGGCAUCCUGGACCGGCAUUGACGCUGAGGAGCGAAAGCGUGGGGAGCAAACAGG
rnacentral:rRNA from 1 species